UUUAUGACGUCGAAUAUCGACGUCAUAAACACCAAACUUGAUGGUGUUUAUGACGUCGAUAUUCGACGUCAUAAA